GCAAGUCGAGCGGAACGAUCCUAGCUUGCUAGGAGGCGUCGAGCGGCGGACGGGUGAGUAAUGCAUAGGAAUCUGCCCGGUAGUGGGGGAUAACCUGGGGAAACCCAGGCUAAUACCGCAUACGCCCUACGGGGGAAAGCAGGGGAUCUUCGGACCUUGCGCUAUCGGAUGAGCCUAUGUCGGAUUAGCUAGUUGGUGAGGUAACGGCUCACCAAGGCUGCGAUCCGUAGCUGGUCUGAGAGGAUGAUCAGCCACAUCGGGACUGAGACACGGCCCGAACUCCUACGGGAGGCAGCAGUGGGGAAUAUUGGACAAUGGGCGAAAGCCUGAUCCAGCCAUGCCGCGUGUGUGAAGAAGGCCUUCGGGUUGUAAAGCACUUUCAGUGAGGAAGAAAGCCUUGAGGUUAAUACCCUCGAGGGAGGACAUCACUCACAGAAGAAGCACCGGCUAACUCCGUGCCAGCAGCCGCGGUAAUACGGAGGGUGCGAGCGUUAAUCGGAAUUACUGGGCGUAAAGCGCGCGUAGGCGGCUUGAUAAGCCGGUUGUGAAAGCCCCGGGCUCAACCUGGGAACGGCAUCCGGAACUGUCAGGCUAGAGUGCAGGAGAGGAAGGUAGAAUUCCCGGUGUAGCGGUGAAAUGCGUA
rnacentral:rRNA from 1 species